rnacentral:rRNA from 1 species
UGAACGCUGGCGGCGUGCUUAACACAUGCAAGUCGCACGAGAACUCCCGGAGCUUGCUCCGGGAUAGUAAAGUGGCGCACGGGUGAGUAACGCGUGGGUAAUCUGCCUCGGAAUCGGGGAUAACAUCGCGAAAGCGUUGCUAAUACCGGAUGACAUCCGACAUUCCUCGGAAUGUUGGAUUAAAGGUGGCCUCUACAUGUAAGCUACUGUUUCGAGAUGAGCCCGCGUACCAUUAGCUUGUUGGUGGGGUAACGGCCCACCAAGGCUGCGAUGGUUAGCUGGUCUGAGAGGGUGAUCAGCCACACUGGAACUGACACACGGUCCAGACUCCUACGGGAGGCAGCAGUGAGGAAUUUUGCGCAAUGGGGGAAACCCUGACGCAGCAACGCCGCGUGAGUGAUGAAGGCUUUCGGGUCGUAAAGCUCUGUCAAGUGGGAAGAACCCGCGAAAUAUCAAUACCAUUUCGCGCUGACGGUACCACUGAAGGAAGCACCGGCUAACUCC